UUUUGUUUGAUUUGUUCAGGACAGGCGUCUGAUAGCAGAUCCAUCAGAUCCUCAGAAACUGACUGAUCCUGUGAUUUCUGUCUCGUCUGAUCGUCUCGUCACGUCUCACUGUGUGAAUCUGACUCAUCAGAUCAUCUGUCAUUCUGUUGGAUUCAGACUGGAGCCCAUGUUCAGAGAUGAGAGAAAGACGAUGUUUCUGGAGGACAGACGAUGAUCUCUGUGUGGAGAGGAUGAGAGUAUAAUGUUGGGACUCCAUCAGUCUUUGUGUGGCAUCGGCUGAAAUCAGUGGAUCUGUAGUUCCCUGAAUCUUCAGUCGUUUCAGUCUCUCGGAGCAGACAGUGUCUUUCAGAGAGAAUCAGUAAACACUCACUUCCUGAGGUCAGGGACGCUCUGCAACAUUUAUGCGUCUUGUGGACUGUGUAAUAUGUUGAUGAUACAUGAGAUGAGACACAGACUGAACUACUGCAUCAACACGUGCUUUAAUGUGAUUCUCACAGGUGUAUUCACCUUUCAUCAGGUGUGUGGACAAAGAAAGAUCUCAGCAGCUCAUGUUUGCUCAGCACAGUAGCUGCUGGUUUCCUUUUUUUCUGUGCUAGAUAUGCUCCUGUUAUCUCCUGGAAGUCUGUCUGUUAAAAGUCCAGAUAAAGAUCUGGAUCAGUGUUAUUUGUAGUUUUUUUUUUUUUGGAACCUCUUGCUUGAAACAAAAC
ensembl:lncRNA